GGACAGAUGGCCGAGCGGUCUAAGGCGCCAGCUUCAGGUGCUGGUAUCUUCGGGUGCGUGGGUUCGAAUCCCACUCUGUUCA